rnacentral:rRNA from 1 species
GACGAACGCUGGCGGCGUGCUUAACACAUGCAAGUCGAACGGUGAAGGGACCGGUUUUUGCUGGUUCUGGAUGAGUGGCGAACGGGUGAGUAACACGUGAGUAACCUGCCCCCUUCUUCUGGAUAACCGCAUGAAAGUGUGGCUAAUACGGGAUAUUCUGCGCCUGCUGCAUGGUGGGUGUGGGAAAGAUAUUGUUUCGGUGGGGGAUGGGCUCGCGGCCUAUCAGCUUGUUGGUGGGGUGAUGGCCUACCAAGGCGGUGACGGGUAGCCGGCCUGAGAGGGUGGACGGUCACACUGGGACUGAGACACGGCCCAGACUCCUACGGGAGGCAGCAGUGGGGAAUAUUACACAAUGGGCGCAAGCCUGAUGCAGCGACGCCGCGUGAGGGAUGGAGGCCUUCGGGUUGUAAACCUCUUUCGCCAGUGAAGCAGGCCUGUCCCUUUUGUGGGUGGGUUGACGGUAGCUGGAUAAGAAGCGCCGGCUAACUACGUG